GGAGCACAGGACAGAGUAGAGUGGGUGGCAGUAAGGGGCCAGAGCAGGAAGGGCUGGCAAGCGCCCUUCAAGGCCCCACAAGCUUCGACCACGGCCCCAUCAGUCUUCCCCCUGGCCCCCUGCUCUAGGGACACAUCUGGCUCCUCAGUGAACCUGGGCUGCCUGGUCAAGGGCUACUUCCCUGAGCCGGUGACCGUGACAUGGAACUCAGGAUCCCUGUCCAGUGGAGUCCGCACCUUCCCAGCUGUCCUGCAGUCAGGGCUCUACUCUGUCACCAGCAUGGUGACUGUGCCCACCAGCACCUGGCCCAACCAGACCGUCACCUGCAAUGUAGCCCACGUGGCCAGCAGCACCAAGGUGGACAAGACCAUUGAUCCCAGGAAGUCACCAUGUCAAGAUAUGGAAAUCCUGGGGGGACCAUCCGUCUUCAUCUUCCCCCCAAAGCCCAAGGACACACUCAUGAUCUCCCUGACCCCCAAGAUCACAUGCGUGGUGGUAGAUGUGAGCGACGAAGAACCCGAGGUCCAGUUCAGCUGGUAUGUAGACAACGUGGAGGUGAGCACAGCUCAGACAAAGCCACAGGAGAGGCAGUACAACAGCACAUUCCGCAUGGUCAGUGUCCUCCCCAUCAAGCACCAGGACUGGCUGAAUGGCAAGAAGUUCAAGUGCAAGGUCAACAACAAAGCCCUGCCAGCCCCCAUCGAGAGGACCAUCUCCAAAGUCGCAGGGCAACCCCGGGCGCCAGAGGUGUACGUCUUGCCCCCGGCCCAGGAGGAGCUGACCAAGAACACCGUCAGUCUGACCUGCUACAUCCAAGGCUUCUACCCUGCCGACAUCUCUGUGGAGUGGGAGAAGCAGGGGCAGCCGGAGCAGGACUACAAGACCACCGAGCCCGUCCUGGACUCCGACGGGACCUACUUCCUCUACAGCAAGCUCAGGGUGGACAGGAACAGAUGGCAGCGAGGAGACCUCUACACAUGCUCAGUGAUGCACGAGGCUCUGCACAACCACUCCACCCAGAAGACCCUGCCCCGGUCCCCGGAGCUCAGCCUGGAUGACAGCUGUGCAGAGGCCCAGGACGGGGAGCUGGACGGGCUGUGGACGACCAUCACCAUCUUCAUCAGCCUCUUCCUGCUCAGCGUGUGCUACAGUGCCACUGUCACUCUCUUCAAGGUGAACAGGAUCUUCUCCUCGGUGGUGGAGCUGAAGCCGACCAUCGCCCCUGACUACAGGAACAUGAUCGGGCAGGGGGCCUAGGCCACCUCCUGCAAGGGGCCCAGGGCCUCCCAGACCCUGGAGGACCAUCCAUCAUGGCCAGCAGCCUGGCUCCCCAGCCACGCCUGCCCUCAGACCUCAUUGCCCUCUGACCCUGCGACUCACUGACCCUGCAGCCCUGCUCCUGCCCUUUGGAGGACCUCUGGAGAGCAGGCUCUACCCCCAGACCUCAGCAGCCUGGACACAGACCACCCCUGGCCCAAGACACUGGCCAGGGCCAGCAGGGGACAUGUGCACAUCACCAGGACAUCGCUGCCCUCAGGGGCCGGGAGGAGACCAAGGUCAGCUUGCUGAAGUCCACCAGGGCAGAGACAGCUUCGCACUGACCCUGUCCACUCCAGCCUCCCCACUGCAGGGUUUCUUGAGAGAGAAGGUGAAGUCCUCAGAACACUGAGUGGGGACCUCUCACCUGAGCUGGGAAGCUCUGGGCCAACACUCCCCAACAGGGGAGCUUCGGGAAGGGCUUCCUGCGAUCACUCAGAUGGCCUUCACUCCCGCCCGUGCCGCGCCAAGCCCCAUCUUGGGUCAUUCUGCAAACCCCGAGUCUCUCUGGCUCCUGGGAAGCAGCCUCCUGUGUGAUGGGGUCUCUGUGCACUGGCCCCUCCUUUGGCGCGCCCUCUUCAGAGGUGGGGUUCUACCCACAGGACAGCACCUCGGACCCUCUCUGCAUGGGGGCAACUGGGGUAGGUCCAGGAUGCCACUUCCCACAGUGGGACCCAGCUCCACACCAGGGAGACCACUCAGAAGGACCUGGGCACAUGUGGCCAUUCCGGGAGGCCUGGCGAGUGCUACGGCAGAGACCACCUGAGAGGGUGGG